CGCGGAGUAGUCCAGAGGCCGGACGCUUGCCCCGGGAGCAAGAGACCGUGGGUUCGAAUCCCACCUCCGCGACCA
rnacentral:tRNA from 1 species